UACGAAGGGGGCGAGCGUUGUUCGGAUUUACUGGGCGUAAAGUGUGCGCAGGCGGCCGAGCAAGUCGAGUGUGAAAGCCCCGAGCUUAACUUGGGAACUGCGCUCGAAACUACUUGGCUAGAGUGUGGCAGAGGGAGGUGGAAUUCCACGUGUAGCGGUGAAAUGCGUAGAGAUGUGGAGGAACACCGAUGGCGAAGGCAGCCUCCUGGGCCAACACUGACGCUCAUGCACGAAAGCGUGGGGAGCAAACAGG
rnacentral:rRNA from 1 species